UGGGGAAUAUUGGACAAUGGGGGGAAACCCUGAUCCAGCAAUGCCGCGUGUGUGAAGAAGGCCUGCGGGUUGUAAAGCACUUUCGGCGGGAAAGAAAAGUCGCGCGUUAAUACCGUGCGGCCUUGACGUUACCCGCAAAAGAAGCACCGGCUAACUCCGUGCCAGCAGCCGCGGUAAUACGGAGGGUGCAAGCGUUAAUCGGAAUUACUGGGCGUAAAGCGCACGUAGGCGGGCAAUUAAGUCGGAUGUGAAAUCCCCGGGGCUUAACCUGGGAACUGCAUCCGAUACUGGUUGCCUAGAGUAUGGAAGAGGGAAGCGGAAUUCCGAGGUGUAGCGGUGAAAUGCGUAGAUAUCUGGAGGAACAUCAGUGGCGAAGGCGGCUUCCUGGUCCAAUACUGACGC
rnacentral:rRNA from 1 species